rnacentral:tRNA from 1 species
GCGUGCAUAGCUCAGCAGGAUAGAGCAACGGUUUCCUAAACCGUAGGUCGCAGGUUCGAAUCCUGCUGCGCGCACCA